UGUGGUCUAAACUUUUGGGUAGACCUGUGCGGUGCCAGGAGUUGGACUUGAUGAUCCUUACGGGUCCCUUCCAGCUCAGGAUAUUCUAUGAUUCUAUAAAUAGUGUAGUCAGAGGUCAUGGGGCUAGAUUUAGAAAAGUCCUGCAUAAAGAAGGGAUCUCAGAGAAGAAAAUGUAAAUAACAUUAAUAUCAAGAAGAGGAAUUCUGAUUGCUAAAUUCUUUAUCUGUCAUGACUAGACAGAUGAAAGUCUAUGGCGGCAAGUUUGCCUUUAAGGUCAUUUUCUUUUUUAUUCAUUUCUUUUAUUUAUUUGUAUUUAUUUUUUUAACAGGCUCUGUACUAAUUUUGCUCACAGAAUGACUAACAGAAAUACGACCCUUGUGCACCUUUUGUAGUUAAUGCAUUAGGUCAACUGUAACCACUAAGCCCCUUGUCAGGUUAUUUCUACUAGUGAUAAGGAGCAAUAGACCUUAAAACUUUGAAGCCAGGUAGACAAGCUUAUUCCACAAGGUCUCUUGGCUCCACCCUUGUUAAGUGAAACCUGCCAGGUGUGGGUCAUUUGACCUUUGCUAUAUAGGAAGCCUGAGGACUUGUGGGGGAAUUGCCUCCCCAGGAGAGACUGAGGCUUGGGUAGCCUAGGGUGUUUUUCUCUUUUCUCUCAUGGUGAAUUGGGCUCAGUGUUCCCUACUAGGCUGCUUUUCCUUCAUGUUUUCUGCCCUCUCUGUGAAAUAGUUUUAGAGACUCUAUGAGCUACUUACAUUAGUGGUGCCUUCUUCAGAAAAACCCUGGUGGCAUUAUUUCACUGCAAAGCACUUUGGAAGUGACUCGAGUUCAGAAGACAGCAGGUGGAUUCUAAGCUCCCUUCCAAGCACUGGAGGG